rnacentral:rRNA from 1 species
UGCAGUCGAGCGGUAGAGAGAAGCUUGCUUCUCUUGAGAGUGGCGAACGGGUGAGUAACAUAUCGGAACGUACCCUAGAGUGGGGGAUAACGUAGCGAAAGUUACGCUAAUACCGCAUACGAUCUAAGGAUGAAAGUGGGGGAUCGCAAGACCUCAUGCUCGUGGAGCGGCCGAUAUCUGAUUAGCUAGUUGGUAGGGUAAAAGCCUACCAAGGCAUCGAUCAGUAGCUGGUCUGAGAGGACGACCAGCCACACUGGAACUGAGACACGGUCCAGACUCCUACGGGAGGCAGCAGUGGGGAAUUUUGGACAAUGGGCGAAAGCCUGAUCCAGCAAUGCCGCGUGAGUGAAGAAGGCCUUCGGGUUGUAAAGCUCUUUUGUCAGGGAAGAAACGGUGAGAGCUAAUAUCUCUUGCUAAUGACGGUACCUGAAGAAUAAGCACCGGCUAACUACGUGCCAGCAGCCGCGGUAAU